AUUGAACGCUGGCGGCAUGCUUUACACAUGCAAGUCGAGCGGCAGCGCGGGGGGCAACCCUGGCGGCGAGCGGCGAACGGGUGAGGAAUACAUCGGAACGUACCCCGGAGUGGGGGGAUAACGCCGCGAAAGCGGCGCUAAUACCGCAUAUGCUCUGAGGAGGAAAGUGGGGGACCUGCAAGGGCCUCACGCUCUGGGAGCGGCCGAUGUCCGAUUAGCUAGUUGGUGAGGUAAAGGCUUACCAAGGCGACGAUCUGUAGCGGGUCUGAGAGGAUGAUCCGCCACACUGGAACUGAGACACGGUCCAGACUCCUACGGGAGGCAGCAGUGGGGAAUUUUGGACAAUGGGGGCAACCCUGAUCCAGCCAUGCCGCGUGA
rnacentral:rRNA from 1 species